CCUACGGGUGGCAGCAGUGGGGGAUAUUGCACAAUGGGGGAAACCCUGAUGCAGCGACGCCGCGUGGAGGAAGAAGGUUUUCGGAUUGUAAACUCCUGUCGUACGGGACGAUAAUGACGGUACCGUACAAGAAAGCCACGGCUAACUACGUGCCAGCAGCCGCGGUAAAACGUAGGUGGCAAGCGUUGUCCGGAAUUACUGGGUGUAAAGGGAGCGCAGGCGGGGCGGCAAGUUGGAAGUGAAAUCUAUGGGCUCAACCCAUAAACUGCUUUCAAAACUGCUGGUCUUGAGUAGUGCAGAGGUAGGCGGAAUUCCCGGUGUAGCGGUGGAAUGCGUAGAUAUCGGGAGGAACACCAGUGGCGAAGGUGGCCUACUGGGCACCAACUGACGCUGAGGCUCGAAAGCAUGGGUAGCAAACAGGAUUAGAUACCCCAGUAGUC
rnacentral:rRNA from 1 species